UGCUCUCUAAUGACGACGGGAGAAACUGCAGCAGCAAAGAGCCCUUGGGAGGCAAAGCUGCCAGGCUUACUCCCCAGGUUUAAAGUAAAGCUUCCCCUGAAUGAAAUCCAGCACAAAUCCUCACUAAAAGGAGAUAUGGUUAUCUCACUAAAAGGAGAUAUGGUGCUAUAGGAGAGCCCAGGAAGGCUCCUCUCCAGGAUUGCAUCAGAUUGCAGGGAUUCAGACACGCCAGGUGAAGAAAAUGGCAGUCAGGAAAAUAGAUAAACUACAGUAUAGAAACUGGAUUUUGAGGGACAUGCAGACUGAUUCAAAAUUCCCUCAGGACAGCUCUCAGGGAGUCAGUAUCAAAGGAGGAGCACUCAUUCUCAGGUGUCAUAUUGCACAGAUACGUGGGACAUAUGAAGACUUAUUCAUGACUAUGGCAUGUAAAGUAUAAGGAUCUUGCAGGAGGCCUGAAAAGAUGUCAGUCAGAAGAAGCUGAGCAUAAAUAUUAACAGAGUUUCUGUGGAACCAGGACAUACUACUGAAGUAUGACAUCAGUGAGGAACAUGAUCACGGAGUACUGACUCAGUGGAACUCAUUUCCAUAGUCAUUUUAUUGAAUCCUCCUUAUACGCAGAGGCUGAUCAAGAGGAAGAAGGGUAUCAGAUUAUAUCCACUGAUGCUAGAGAACUGGAUGACAUUUUUCAAAAUGGUGUUACAUCUUGGAGCCGAAACUAAAGGCAGCCCCACAGGGCCCUCCCAGGCUCGAAGGUGUGCAUCUCUGAACAGCAGCUCUGCAAUGCUGUCCUGGCACAGCUGGAGACGCCAAAUGCUCAGAGCUCACCAGGAGGGCCUGAAAAAGAUGAUGCCCAUGCCUGUACCUAGGUAUUGAAGGAUGUUUGAAACUUGUGCAUUGACUGUGUUACAUUUGGCCUCAGCUUGAAAGAGGUAACAGGAAAGUCCCAUACAAAGAGAGCUCAGUUUGUGUUUUACUUUCCUUAUUUCAGUUGCAGUAAUGUGCUUAUAUUUUCUUUUUGAGGACUUGAGCUAUAUUGAAAAAUAAUUGGUCAUAUUUUAUGGCACUUUCUCUAACUUACAAAACUCAUGCCUUAGCAUGACUCCAUUUAAUAUUUCUCUAUGCUACAUGCAUUAAAACAUCCAUCUGGUAAGCCAUUUUUGUCUUAUGUCUUUUAAAGCUACUUUUAAAAUUCCGAAGUUAACAUAAGAUUGCAGAAACUUGAUUCUGCUGACACUGGAAAAUGGCAGAACACAUAUUUCACCACUUUCUGAUAUAUGCUUACUAUUCUAGAGGGUAAUAUUUUUUUCCACUAGUUAGAAGGUAGAGAGGUAAAUUUGGUAUGCUAAUAAAUUGUUGCCUAAUUUUUGCACAGCUAAUGGUAUAACAAUAACCAAACAUUACUUGUAAUUUAAAAUGUUUAUUGUUUAAAUACUGCUCUAAGAGAUGGAACAACAUUUAAAUUAUAAUUAAUUUCAGCUAAACAUCAUGGAUAAACUGUAAGAAGAAUGGAUGACAUGAAAAAAUCCACAGCUUCAAAUGGGAAAAAACCUUAAAUUUGAAAAUAGCUUCUAAGAACUACAGAUAAUGGUCUCUGUCUGUGUACUUAAAAUGGGCUUAAUAGUCUUCAUAUAGGAUGAUGGAAGCUACACCUAUUCUCUGUCAAAAGGCGCCUCAAUGGACAUUUAGCCCCCAAAUUUACUUGCCAGUAAGAUCUGAUUCUUCUUCCAACAUGUGUGCUCAAGAUAUAGUUAAUUAUUCCCAUAUGAAAAAGGAGUCAGAAAUACUUCCCAAAAUUUACAUAUGGGAGCAUCCAAGGCCUUAUUUUAGAACUUAAAGUGACUGAAAGUUUGAUUUACAAUUCAACAGGAUUAAUUUCAGGAGAAGCAGUUUUAGACUGGCUUCAAAAUUAAAAUGAAAGUAUCUAAUUGCUUUCCUUUUCUCAAAUUCUCUGUACUGCUAACACUUGCAUAUCAAAUCAUGCAUGUUGCAGCUAAAAUUAUAAACUCACUUUCAUCAAAUGACUUUUCAAUGCAAUAAAUAAAGCUUUUAAUGCCAUGAAUGAAAUUGUGCAACUUUUGAAUCAAUUAUGUAAUAUUCAUCUGUACCUUUCCAUAAAUUAUUUGUUGAAUUCUCUAUUGCUGCGAGCCUCCAAAAGUUUAUUCAGUCAAAGCUGAACUUCAUAAACUAAACUGCUGUGAGAUCUUAUAUGGUCAUUGAUUAGUAUUAAAAGAAGUUAUUAUUAUACAGUCCUCAAUAUGUGAUAAUAAUUCCAAACCUUUUAUCUAUGUAUGUUUAUUGAAUUAAGAAAGAUUGUUCACAUGAGCAGAUUAUGAAAGUCCCAUUUAACAGAAACAAUCACCUGGACUGUGGAAAAGCCCCAUCUAAUAAUUUUUUGUUGUAUUUUUUCUUUUUAGAAGAAUAAAUGUGUAAUUGAAAUAGUA